rnacentral:tRNA from 8 species
GCGCCCUUAGCUCAGCUGGAUAGAGCGUCAGACUACGAAUCUGAAGGCCGGGAGUUCGAAUCUCUCAGGGCGCGCCA